GUUAUGCUAAUGCUAUAUUGUCACAGCGUUUAUAUACAGCCACAUAAGUCCUCAGCCACAAACAUUAGUUUCCUGUGGCCCUGACUUCUUUGGCCUUACGCCAAUUAAUUGUCACACGCCUGUCUGGCGGUCCCUGCGGCGUUCUGCAGAUAAACUCAGUAAGUCGAUCGCAGGCCUCCAUAGGCCAAAGGUCGCCACCGCCACAACUAGAAGCUGCAAAUAGGCUACAGGAAGUGUCACACUUGCCAGUCCUUGAGUUCGACGAAUUCAUAUGACAUCAGCAGCUGUUAAGCUUGAAGUUAUCCGUAUGAGCUCAGCUAUUUACGAUAUUUCGAAUGUAUUGUUUAUUUCGACAACUUGCCCACCCUGCCCUGUCUGUUUUCGCUUUUUGUUUACAGCUAAGUGACAAAUGACGGCGACUAAAUAUGCGGCAACCGUGGACAGCGCGGCAUCUCUAUUGCCACUGCCAUGGAUAUGAGGUAGAAUUAUGGUAAAGUGUUAAUGUGUUUGCCUAGAGACGAGUGGGGUGAUUGUGAGGCUCGAGACCGGGCGGAAACACCGGCCGAUUGGUGCUGGCCGUCUAAAGCAAUAAUUAACUGAGGGAAUAGCAUCGGGCGUGAAACUGGAAGCGUUCGUUUUUUGAUAUAGUGAUUCCCUUCGUCCGUUCACUCGAUCUCUCACUCGUCUGCUACUGAAGCAGGGAAGCCAGUCUUCCUCAUGGGAGGUGGCUGCGAAUGCAUCCGACGCAAACACUCACGACGGGCAUAACAUCUCCGAUGAGGAAUCGGUGGCGCAAGUGGUCGCAUAAACACUAAAUUUCCAAGGCGAAAAAUGUCGUUAAUAUUAGGAGGACUCGGAAUCACGAUAUAAUCUAUAGGAUUUCGGCCGCCAAGUGCGUCAAAAAUGUCGCAUACGGCUCUCACUUCGAACCGUAAAGCGAUAUCAUGCAAUCAAAAUAGGGCACGAGUGAAACGGGUAUUGCAUUGCACGUGCAUUGCAUCAUGUAAAAUAGAUCAAUAAUGUUGGACGCUCAAGAGACGCUCUGUCAUUCAAAUUAUCGCAAAAAAUAUGUACAUGUCACAAAACCAACACCUGCCAUUUCGAUCAUAAUGCCUUAUUCUUAUUGUUAUAGGAGACGUACGAGCAACGUUUCAAUGUUUCUUCAGGGACGAGCCAUGCAUAUAUUAUAGGAAAAUAAACGAAAUCGGCUAAGUUGUCCUCGUAACAUGCUAACUUAUUCCAGCUAACCCAUAACCGAUAAGUAUUUCGUACAGCCACAAUUAAAAAAAACUUAUCCAUAGUAGUCCUCCAUAAAAUGAGUUUUUUUAAUGCUAUGUGACCAACUGAACAUAUGGGAACAACGAACAUAGGUACACAGCUUUUUCUCGAAAUGCUCGUUGUGUUUGGCCCAUUAAGUUGUUCCACCUCUAACGUUCACACACAUUCACUAACUGAUCGGAGCGAAAGCCCAAGGGAAGUAGAUGCGAACAGAUGAUAAACAUAGCCAUCGAAACUUCAGUCCAUCGCGCGUGAUGAUUUCGUAUAUUGGUAGACUUCUUAGCUAUAGUUCAUGCGUGAUUUCGCUAUCCCAUAGCAGAAAUCAGAAAAUACAGAACAUGCCUCGGAUGAUGGGAAAAUCGGAUGCGUGUCAGCAGCGACAGUCCUCAUCCAGAGUGAAAUAACGUGAUCUUCUCAUCGGAUGACAGAACUUAUUCUAAUACUAAUUAUGAUCUAUAAUAAUAUUAUAAAUAUAUGUUACAGUUAUUGUAUUA